CCGGUGCUGUAAAUUAAACGAAAAAACCACUUAAUCGUGAAAUUCGAUCUUUUUCUUCCUUCAAUUCAGUUUUCAUUCCCCUUCUAGCUUUUCUACAUUCAAUUCGCACCCCCCUCGUUGUCGCCUACCUUCCCCAUAGCUGUACGUCUCCAUCGAAGCGCAUUCUGGGCUUUCUCACCUCCAUUGCUGCAACUCGUCUCUUUCUCUCCAUAACUCUCCUCCAUUGAAGCGCAUUCUGCUGAGCUUUCUCACCUCCAUUGAAGCGCAUUCUGAGCUUUCCAACUCCAUUGUAGCAGCUUCGAGUGAUAAAUAUACGAGCAUAUGCAUCCUGGGGUAGCUUCUCUCAUUAUCCGGUUUGGCAAGGAAAGAAGCAAAUGAAUUGAUAAAACUUGUCAGGUCUCGUGUAGUGGACAACAAUGGAACUUUUGGUGAAACUACUCCAAAUAUGCAGACCUCAGCAAUUAUGGAAGCUAGGAAAUGAUAAGAUUUUCAAGUGUGACUGAUCCCUCUCUACUCGGGGAAGCAGGGGAGCUUGAAAUACGCAUCAAACCUGAUCCAGAUAAUGGGACCAUCACGAUUAGGAUACUGGUAAUUGGAAUGACAAAAGAGGAGCUUGUUGAUUGUUUGGGAACUAUUGCACAGAGCGGCACUUCCAAGUUCUUUAAAGCAUUGAAGGUACCAUUAUGACCAUAUCAAAGGAUAGGGUGAAGCCAUCUCCUAUGCCAGACAGCUGCUGGAAGCUCUCUGAGAUUUUUGCCACUGGAAUUGUCAUUGGCAGUUCCUGUCAAUGAUGACGGUGAUAUGUUUUUGGGCAGCAUAUGAGGCUGAUUUCUUUCCGAGAAUGUUUGGGGUUUCACACUUAAACAGACAAUCAGCUACUACUGAAAGUGCUACUACUUAAACAGACAGUCAGCCACUACUUAAACAGACAAUCAGCUGCUCAGUACAAACCAGCAAUGGCAGCAAUAACACACAACCAGCAGCAUAACCAAAGCAGCAGCAACAGUACAACAGCAACACCACAAGAGAAAAACAAGCAGAUUUUAUUUUAUUUUAUUGGACGAAAAUUGUAAUAUUACGACUUUUUUUUAAUGAAAAUAU